GUCGUAAAAAUAGAGUCACGAUCUUUCUCAACGGCCAGUUUAUAAUAGUUUAUACCUGUAAACCACAUAUAAAUCAUAAGUAUUCUCUAGUUAUAAUCACUCCGCGUAUUUUCAGUUCUAAAAUGUUGUAUUUCGGCUGAUGAGAAAGAUCGUGACUCAAUCUUUACGACCGUUACGACCAUAUGGAAACCAGGCUUUUAGCACAGAUACACACCUUCUCUUGUUUUGACAACCCUGACGUCUUUGUAAGGCAGCUUUGUGUUGGCUAAUAUUUCGUGAAUCUG